rnacentral:rRNA from 1 species
GACGAACCGUCCAAACGUUGUUCGGAAUCACUGGGCUUAAAGGGCGCGUAGGCGGGCUGCCAAGUCCGGGGUGAAAUCCUCCAGCUUAACUGGAGAACUGCCUCGGAUACUGGAAGUCUCGAGGAGGGUAGGGGCACGCGGAACUGUGGGUGGAGCGGUGAAAUGCGUUGAUAUCCAUAGGAACUCCGGUGGCGAAGGCGGCACGCUGGACCUCUUCUGACGCUGAGGCGCGAAAGCCAGGGGAGCAAACGGG